ACCAUCAAGUUGGGAGGCGGAGUUAAACUGCAGAUGGUUUUUGGGGACAUAACUGACGAGACGACAGAUCUUGUGGUGAACACAACAGACUUCACAAAUUUUGACCCCGAUGGUGUGUGCAAGUCUAUCUUUGCUGUCGCUGGACCAGAGGUACAGGAAGAACUGAAAGCAGCGAGAAGAAACUCAGAAAGCAUGGUUUCCACUAAGCCGGGACGGU